rnacentral:rRNA from 1 species
GAUCAGGGCUCAGGACGAACGCUGGCGGCGUGCUUAACACAUGCAAGUCGAACGAGAAUCUGUGGAUCGAGGAUUCGUCCAAGUGAAGCAGAGGACAGUGGCGGACGGGUGAGUAACGCGUGAGGAACCUGCCUUUCAGAGGGGGACAACAGUUGGAAACGACUGCUAAUACCGCAUGAUACAUUUGGGUGGCAUCAUCUGAAUGUCAAAGAUUUAUCGCUGAAAGAUGG